rnacentral:rRNA from 1 species
GACAGAGGAUGCAAGCGUUAUCCGGAAUGAUUGGGCGUAAAGCGUCUGUAGGUGGCUUUUAAGUCCGCCGUCAAAUCCCAGGCUCAACCCUGGACAGGCGGUGGAAACUACCAAGCUGGAGUACGGUAGGGCAGAGGGAAGUUCCGGUGGAGCGUGAAAUGCGUAGAGGAUCGGAAAGAACACCAACGGCGAAAGCACUCUGCUGGGCCGACACUGACACUGAGAGACGAAAGCUAGGGGAGCGAAUGG